UACGAAGGGGGCUAGCGUUGCUCGGAAUGACUGGGCGUAAAGGGCGCGUAGGCGGUCCGAUAAGUCCUGUGUGAAAUCCCUCGGCUCAACUGAGGAACUGCACGGGAGACUGCCGGGCUUGAGUUCGGGAGAGGGAAGCGGAAUUCCGGGUGUAGCGGUGAAAUGCGUAGAUAUCCGGAGGAACACCGGUGGCGAAGGCGGCUUCCUGGACCGACACUGACGCUGAGGCGCGAAAGCUAGGGGAGCAAACGGG
rnacentral:rRNA from 1 species